UGGCUCAGCCUCUUCUGGAACAUGC
rnacentral:misc_RNA from 1 species